UGAGGAAUAUUGGUCAAUGGACGCAAGUCUGAACCAGCCAUGCCGCGUGCAGGAUGAAGGUGCUAUGCAUUGUAAACUGCUUUUGUACGAGGGUAAAUGCAGGUACGUGUACCUGUUUGAAAGUAUCGUACGAAUAAGGGUCGGCUAACUCCGUGCCAGCAGCCGCGGUAAUACGGAGGACCCGAGCGUUAUCCGGAUUUAUUGGGUUUAAAGGGUGCGUAGGCGGAUUAGUAAGUUAGAGGUGAAAGCUCGAUGCUCAACGUCGAAAUUGCCUCUGAUACUGUUAGUCUAGAGUAUAGUUGCGGAAGGCGGAAUGUGUGGUGUAGCGGUGAAAUGCUUAGAUAUCACACAGAACACCGAUUGCGAAGGCAGCUUUCCAAGCUAUUACUGACGCUGAUGCACGAAAGCGUGGGGGAGCGAACAGGAUUAGUACC
rnacentral:rRNA from 1 species